UUCUGGUUGAUCCCGCCGGAGGCCACUGCUAUUGGGGUUCGGCUAAGCCAUGCGAGUGGAGGGCGUCCCGCAAGGGAUGGCCCCGCAGACGGCUCAGUAACACGUCGUCAACAUACCCUGGGGUGGGGGACAACCUCGGGAAACUGAGGAUAAUCCCCCAUAGGUGGGGGAGGCUGGAAUGCGCCCCUGCUGAAAGCUCAGGCGCCCUAGGACGGGGCGGCGGCCUAUCAGGUAGUUGGUGGUGUAACGGACCACCAAGCCUACGACGGGUACGGGCUGUGAGAGCAGGAGCCCGGAGAUGGGGACUGAGACAAGGCCCCAGGCCCUACGGGGCGCAGCAGGCGCGAAAACUCCGCAAUGCGCGCAAGCGUGACGGGGGAACCCCAAGUGCCGCUGAUCUUUGAUCGGCGGCUUUUCGGGAGUGCAGGGAGCUCCCGGAAUAAGGGCUGGGUAAGACUGGUGCCAGCCGCCGCGGUAAUACCAGCAGCCCGAGUGGUGGUCGCGUUUAUUGGGCCUAAAGCGCUCGUGGCCGGGCCGGUAAGUUCCCCGUGAAAUCGGGUCGCUCAACGAUUCGGCUUGCGGGGAAUACUGUCGGUCUUGGGGCCGGGAGACGCCGAGGGUACUCCGGGGGUAGCGGUGAAAUGCUGUAAUCCCUGGGGGACUACCAGUGGCGAAGCGCUCGGCGAGAACGGGCCCGACGGUGAGGGGCGAAAGCUGGGGGAGCGAACGGGAUUAGAUACCCCGGUAGUCCCAGCCGUAAAGGAUGCGGGCAAGGUGCUUGUCGCUCUUCGAGGGCGCCAGGUGCCGUAGAGAAGUCGUUAAGCCCCCGCUGGGAAGUACGGUCGCAGGGCUGAAACUUAAAGAAUUGGCGGGGGAGCACCACAAGGGGUGGACCUGCGGUUCAAUUGGAGUCAACGCCGGG
rnacentral:rRNA from 1 species